GAGCUUUUACACUAAACUUGAGUGAGUUACAAAUGAGGGAUGAGGGGGUAUUUAUAGGCCUCCCCCUUUCUCUAGAAAAUUCCCACCUCCUUAAUGGACGGUUGGGAUUGAUUUGAUCUAACGGUGUACAUUCUAUCUCUAGAUAAUUCUAUAGAAAUAUCUACAAGAAAUAUCUUGAUAAUUACAAGGAGACUACUAGAAUGUAUAAGAGCAAGAUAUCUCUAGAAUGAUCUGGAUGCUUCAAGUGCUUUCUACACUACUCUAGAGAUAUCUAGGUCUUUCGAGGUCAUACCGACGUAUUCCAGAAGACUCCGGGGCCUUCUUGAUUGUCCUGGAUCGUUCCGGAAACUUCUAGAAUAUCUUAACCUCAUGAAAAUUCUAUCUUCGUCACAUGCUUAAGCUAUCUUGAAGGAGAAAAUGAUGAUUGGCUCAAGGGAAGGAGAGGUAAAGAACAGAAGAUAGAUACUUGAGAGUCAAGAGAGAAUUUCUCUAAUUAGAGAUCCAUCCAUGCAGGUUGUAAGGGUUCUGGAAGAGAGAAAGAGUCGCUGUCAAGCAUAAGCAAAACCGAAGCCAUGGUUGGUCUAUCAGCAGCCCUUUCUUGAACACACAGCAAGCCAAUGUGAACGCAUCUCAUUAUUUCACUUCUUGAACUGUCAGAUAAUGUGGGAUCUACAAUAUUAGAUGAUGUCCCUCUCCUCCAGCUUUUCCAUGCCUGCAAGAAGUGGUACAAUUACAGAAAAUUUGAAGUAAUCUAAUAUGGUAAAAGAAAAUGAGAUAAAUAAUGAAAAGAAGGAAAACAUACAAAGCUUGGAAGGUGCUCAAUACUCUCCCCAUCAUGGAUGCGACCAUUCUUUUGCCCUCUUACAAUUUCUAGAAUUAAUACACCAAAACUAAAUAUAUCAGAUUUUACAGAGAAUCGUCCAUGCUUUGCAUACUCUGGUGCCAUAUAACCUCUGCACAUUAAAACACAAAUAUAUUCAAGCGCAUGCUCACUUCUUUUGUUAGUUAUAGAGAUAGAGAGUGUUUAGACAGCAAGUAGCCUUAUCAUAUUGUUAAACUUACAAAGUUCCCACAAUUCGAUUUGUCUUGGCUUGAGACUCAUCAAUGGAAAAUAAUUUUGCCAUUCCAAAAUCUGAUA